CCUACGGGAGGCAGCAGUGGGGAAUAUUGGACAAUGGGCGCAAGCCUGAUCCAGCAAUUCCGCGUGGGUGAAGAAGGUCUUCGGAUUGUAAAGCCCUUUCGUUGGGGACGAUGAUGACGGUACCCAAAGAAGAAGCCCCGGCUAACUUCGUGCCAGCAGCCGCGGUAAUACGAAGGGGGCUAGCGUUGCUCGGAAUGACUGGGCGUAAAGGGCGCGUAGGCGGCACAACUCGUCAGGCGUGAAAUUCCUGGGCUUAACCUGGGGGCUGCGUUUGAUACGGUUGGGCUAGAGGAUGGAAGAGGCUCGUGGAAUUCCCAGUGUAGAGGUGAAAUUCGUAGAUAUUGGGAAGAACACCGGUGGCGAAGGCGGCGAGCUGGUCCGUUACUGACGCUGAGGCGCGAAAGCGUGGGGAGCAAACAGGAUUAGAUACCCUGGUAGUCCACGCUGUAAACGAUGUGCGCUGGAUGUUGGUACGUUAGUUACUCAGUGUCGUAGCUACGCGAUAAGCGCACCGCCGUCGGGUAGGUACGGCCGGCCGAACGGUUAGGUAAACGUACGAAAGGAAAGUUAGACGGCGUGUAAGACGUGCCGAACGGACGACGACGAGGGAGGAGG
rnacentral:rRNA from 1 species